AGACCAUAAGGCUUUGCCUUGCGUUGAGCUUAUUUGGACGUCAAGUCCAAAAGCUCCAAACAAAUUGGCGUCUGACUUUGGGCCAGCAAACACAGCGAUAUGUGAUUGUAAUCCAAAUGACUGACUGCCAGUCUCCCAAAAAUUAAAC
rnacentral:misc_RNA from 1 species